rnacentral:rRNA from 1 species
UACGGGGGGGGCAAGCGUUGUUCGGAAUUACUGGGCGUAAAGGGCUCGUAGGCGGCCAACUAAGUCGGAUGUGAAAUCCCCAGGCUUAACCUGGGAACUGCAUCCGAUACUGGAUGGCUUGAAUUCGGGAGAGGGAUGCAGAAUUCCAGGUGUAGCGGUGAAAUGCGUAGAGAUGUGGAGGAACACCGAUGGCGAAGGCAGCCUCCUGGGCCAACACUGACGCUCAUGCACGAAAGCGUGGGGAGCAAACAGG